GGGGAUUUAGCUCAGCGGCAUAGGCACCUGCCUUGCAAGCAGGCAGUUGUGAGUUCAAUCCCUG
rnacentral:tRNA from 1 species